rnacentral:tRNA from 1 species
AAAGCUUUAAGUUAAAUAAACUAUUAACCUUCAAAGUUAAAAUUAUAAUUGUUAUAAGCUUUA